GGCGCGGUGGCCUAAUGGUAAGGCGUCGCUUUCCGGCCACGGAGAGCUCCCAAAGAGUGUUUGGCGAAGAUUGUGGGUUCGAGUCCCAUCCGCGUCG